rnacentral:tRNA from 1 species
GAGGGUAUAGCUCAGUGGUAGAGCAUGUGCUUAGAAUGCACAAGGUCCUGAAUUUGAUCCCCAGUACCUCA